CUACGGGUGGCAGCAGUGGGGAAUAUUGCACAAUGGGCGCAAGCCUGAUGCAGCCAUGCCGCGUGUGUGAAGAAGGCCUUCGGGUUGUAAAGCACUUUCAGCGGGGAGGAAGGCGGUGAGGUUAAUAACCUCAUCGAUUGACGUUACCCGCAGAAGAAGCACCGGCUAACUCCGUGCCAGCAGCCGCGGUAAUACGGAGGGUGCAAGCGUUAAUCGGAAUUACUGGGCGUAAAGCGCACGCAGGCGGUCUGUCAAGUCGGAUGUGAAAUCCCCGGGCUCAACCUGGGAACUGCAUUCGAAACUGGCAGGCUAGAGUCUUGUAGAGGGGGGUAGAAUUCCAGGUGUAGCGGUGAAAUGCGUAGAGAUCUGGAGGAAUACCGGUGGUGAAGGCGGCCCCCUGGACAAAGACUGACGCUCAGGUGCGAAAGCGUGGGGAGCAAACAGGAUUAGAUACCCCAGUAGUC
rnacentral:rRNA from 1 species